GUGAGGCCAGAGGAGCUCCGUGCUGCUAGGAGAUCCAGGCAGAAACCUCCAGGAUUGGAAGCUCAGCCCAGCGGCUGGGAGGCUGUGGCACCUCCUGUCCACAUGGCAGGCCAGGCCGAGGUGGGCUGGCUACACAGUGGGGCUCCCCCCUCUCUGAUAAGGACAUGGCAUUCGUCUCCUCCAGAGGAUACAGCACCAAGGCACCAUCUUGGAAGUAGACUGGAGCUCUCAGCAGACCAGAACCUGUGGGUGUGUUGAUCUUGUACUUCCUGACCUCCAGAACUGUGAGAAAUGCAUUUCUGUUGUUUAUAAGUUGCCCAGUCUCAGGUAUUUUGUUACAGCAUCACAAACAGACUAAGACAAUCACUUAGAGGAGAAGUCCUCUCUUCCACUACAUGCAUUGUGUCUGUGUAUGGUAGCUGGAGCUGGAGCAGCCACGCUGCAACCCAGGGGCCAGCCAAGGGCAAGGCUGAGAGUGUUAUCACUGAUGUGUCAGGUGGUUCUUUGUUGUUUUGAGAAAGAAUUUUAAUUGAGAUAAUUUAUGUAACAUAAAAUUUACUGUUUUACAGUGUACA
rnacentral:lncRNA from 1 species